rnacentral:rRNA from 1 species
CCUACGGGCGGCAGCAGUGGGGAAUAUUGGACAAUGGGCGAAAGCCUGAUCCAGCCAUGCCGCGUGUGUGAAGAAGGCCUUCGGGUUGUAAAGCACUUUCAGUGGGGAAGAAAGCCUUGGGGCUAAUACCCUCGAGGAAGGACAUCACCCACAGAAGAAGCACCGGCUAACUCCGUGCCAGCAGCCGCGGUAAUACGGAGGGUGCGGGCGUUAAUCGGAAUUACUGGGCGUAAAGCGCGCGUAGGCGGUCUGAUAAGCCGGUUGUGAAAGCCCCGGGCUCAACCUGGGAACGGCAUCCGGAACUGUCAGGCUAGAGUGCAGGAGAGGAAGGUAGAAUUCCCGGUGUAGCGGUGAAAUGCGUAGAGAUCGGGAGGAAUACCAGUGGCGAAGGCGGCCUUCUGGACUGACACUGACGCUGAGGUGCGAAAGCGUGGGUAGCAAACAGGAUUAGAUACCCGAGUAGUC